GUGAGUGAGUGAAGGUCUUCUUAUGGGGGAGAACUCAGCCUAUUUAAACAGACUUUAAGUGUGUGUGGUCAUCAUUUACAGCUGAACCAGACGGACGCAUCUGUAGAACACGGGCCCUAUCAACGAUUAUGAAAACCUGGAUCGCAUCGAUCAACUGCUGACUGAACCGUUAAUUAAUGAAACAACGGGUCAGAGCAAAUCUGUCAACAGAUGUGUACUGCAAGGUAU